rnacentral:lncRNA from 1 species
UACCAGAAACCAACAACCCGGUCCCAGUGACUGGUUAUAACAACUCGGAAUUAAGAAGACUUCAAUAUAAACACCAAACAUUCAUCUUCGAUUUGCGUUGAUCUAUCUCGGUUUUGUCUAAACAAACUACGCGGUUUUCUAAUUUCGCCUAAGUAUAAAUAAAUGAUAGACUGUACGUAUGAACUAUUAACUGUCCCGCUGAAUAUGUUUAAGUGCAUAUUUAUUUAUGUGUUCAACAUAUAAAAAAAUAAUCCAUAUGCAGACUACAAACUAAAUAUUUUAAAUGUAAGUAAUCAUAUUAAACAUAAUUAAAAACCAAUAAGUCGUGUAACAUAUCAUAAUUUUUGUUUAGUGCAACAAUGUUUCCGAACCCGUGGGUUACUCCAGUUCCACCUCCUGUGGUGACCAAAUCGGUUGUUUACAAAAACAAUACUCCAACUACCUAUCCAUAUUAUGUUACGCCAAAUGCCUUACAAAAUAUUGUUGUAAGUUUAUAUAGCAUUAAAUUAAGAAAUAAAUACUAUCAUCCGUAUAUUUGUUUAUGCAAUAUAUUUCUGUUAUCAUAUAUUGAAAAUAAAAGCAUUGUAUAUUAGAUUAUUACUAAUAUUUAUAAUUUGAAUUAAUUACAUGAUGUAGUUAAUUUAAAUAUGUUUAAUACACAUUUAAAUCAAUAAUUAAAUUACUAUCCAAGAAAGUUGUUUACUUGAGUAGAUAUGGAGAUGUUUUAAUAGGACCAUACAGCAUAUUUUAUAGACAAAUAUUUUAUUACUUCCCUAUAUUUUUCAGAUGAACCCACAAAAUAGUUUAUCAUUGAAUGCAACAUCAGUCGUAAGUAAUUUCUGUAAGAUAAACAUUAGUAUAAGUUACAUUUUUAGACAAAUGAAAAAUCUUUAUACAAAAUUGUUUUUUCUGAAAGAAAAAGACACUUUGUAUACAAUUAUUGUUAACUCUAAUAGUCUAAUAGUCUAGUACAAAAAAAUGUGAAAAACUGCUUACAUAAUUAAAUCCAUGUUAAACGUUUUAAUUUGGAUAUUUUUGAAUUUUAAAGUAUUCAUGACUUAUUCAAAUUCAUUAAAAAAAUUAAUUUAACUAAAUAAUUAUUCAUCUAUAUUCUGUUUAGUUAGUAAGAAAAAACAAUUUAAGUUAUGGAAGCAGAAUAGGAACAGAGAUGAUUAGGUAGAGUACAAAAGACUACAAGAAAGUUAAGAAGGUGGCAAGCAAACCGAAGUUAAAAAAUACUAGGAACAAAGAAAGGUGAAAAAAAAGUUUAUCGAUUAAUCGAGAUUAGAAAAAAACUGUCCAAGGAUUUCCAUAAUGUAUGAGAAAGACAAAAAAAAAAAUAAAUAGAUGUGAUUGAGAAUGAUGUAUGGGGGAUCUUGUCUAAUGGAAGUUUAAGAUAGCGGUGGCUGACCCUAAUUAGUUAGGGUGAAGGUGAAGCAGAAAAAAAAAAUUAUUCAGAAUAAGAUUUAACUGCUUUUGUAAAUGUAAACUCAGCUGUUGAACAAGUCUAGACUCUCUAAUUGCAUUCUGUUGUCUUUGCUGUUGACUUUGUACUUACAAGGAGCAAGGAUGGAAGGGGAUUAGUUUGGAAGUAAAGUUUUUUUUUAUCUAAGCCGUUCAGUAUUAACCUGAAUAGAGUAAAUUAAUAUUGAAUUAUCUUUUAACUUGAAUAAUUAAGACUUAAACUUGUUUGUUAGAAUUAUUAUCUAUUUUUAAUACCUAAUUGAAGUUAAUUUUCAAUAAAAAAAAAAAUGUAAUUCAAAUAUAAAUAUUUGUACAAUAUUUUUAAUCCUCUUCCUUAUGAAUAAUAUAAAAAAAAAAAAAAACAUAAUUUGAUUAUCCUCGGAGAUAUUCAAAGGGAGUGUAUCUUAGGACAACCUGUACACAGAUAAAUUGUUAUAUAUUUUUAUGGCAGUUUUUUUAUGCUUAUAUUUUAAAUAAUCUAAACACGCUAAAAUGAAAAAUCCACAUUAAAAGUGUAGUAUUUAAUGUGUAACAUUUCAAAAAUAUUAUUGUUUAGUUAAAAGUUCAAUACUUACCAAUAUAUUUAAUUAAUAAUUUCCUUAUUUAUUAUAAAGUAACUAUCUAUUUUAGAUGAACCAGUCACUUCAACCAAAUGCUAUCGAUCCAGCUGUAAGUUUAACAGAAUAUAAUAUUUUAUAAUAAUAGGUAUAGUGUAUCAAUUUUAAAAAAUGUAUUUAUUUAUUUUAGUUGGUUCAAAAAUGGCAAGAAUGGAAGCAAUGGGAAGCAUGGCAACAACAAUUUCAACAAUGGCAACAACAGGUUUAUUUAAAUUAUAUGUCUAAAAAAUAUGAAAUAUUGAAUUGUUUUCAACAUUGAUCACUUGUACUACUAAUAAUUCAUAAGCAUCGUUUAAAAAAAUAUGAAUUAAAAUUAACUUUUAAUUUAAUUAUUAGAUAAAUAAAUUAGUUAUUUCAAAAAAAUUAUCAUUAUCUAGAAACGGGCAUGCUCAAGAAGUGAUCUUUCCCAGACUUGUUAAAUUAAAGUAAAUUAUUUUUCUGAAAAUUUUCUAGAAUAUUUUUAUAAGCAUUUGAAGUUAAGUUGAGUUGUGUGAAAAGGGAACGUAUAAUUUUCUGAUUACAUUACAAAUUGUUUCAAUUAAUACAUUUUAAUUGUAUUUAUACAUUUUAUUAGACUGGGCAAAUUACUGCUACACCUAUACAACCGGCACCUCCAAUGCCUCCUAGUCAACCAAUGCAACCAAUACAAACUCCUAUAAUGCCAUAUCAAAACCAGCAAUAUCAACCAAUCAACCAAUACAAUCAAUCCAGACCACCUUUGCCACUAACUAAUGAUCUGUCACAAGUAAUAAUAUUUAAAAAAAAAAAAAAAUUAUUAUAAUUAGCAGUUAAAUUAAGCAAGUUAAGAAUUUAAUAAAUAUAUAAAACAACUUAAAUAAGAAAAUUCAAUAGUCAAACUUAAAAUAGUUGAAAACAGAUAAUACAUUAUAAUAUUUCCUUGAUCUAAUGAUGACCAUAGCCUAUAGUAAAUUUAAGUACAGUUUAGGACUAUAGCAUACAUGAAUUUCAAUUUUUCACAAUGUAAGUAGGUACCAAUUUUAGAUUCUAAGCAGAGCAAAGAAGCUUAUGUUUUUUUUCAAAAAUAUAUAUAUUUUUUUUCUGUGGACAACUUUUCUACCAGUAAUUUUGUUCCAACUUUUAUUAAGGUAGCAAUUUUUCUAAGAGGAAAUUUCACUAGGGAUAUACUUUCAAAGGUUGUUUUUUCGAUUUUCCCUGGAGUUUUCUCAGCAAAUGUGAAAAGCUAUGAAAACCAGAGAAAUCAGUACAACAUUGAAAAAAUAUUAUUAAAGAAAAUAUAUAGAGCCUAUUCUAUUAUUUUAUUAUAAUAUAGCAUGUAUAUUGUUGACAAAGCAUCACUAUCAACUGAACUCCGCUUAUAAUCGCUUUUUCGUAAGCAAUGGUUUAACAUUGUUUAUAGGUAUACAUUAUAUUACUUAUAACCGUGGCUGCACCCUUCCUCAUUAUCCUUGGAUGUCUUUUUCAUAUUUAAUUGUAUACGUUAUAGCUAAAACGAAAAAAAAAUGUAGGCAUUAUAAUAUUGAAUAUUUGAAGUAUGGUUUCAUUCAAUAUCAAUCGCCUACAAAUAUUACAUUAGUUAUGUGCCUUAUUUGCCAAAAGUUUUUAUAAAUGCAGCUAUGAAACCGUUAAGACUGCAAAGUUCAUGCUAUUAAAAAAAAUAUGGAUAUUUGGUUUUCUCCUAGCAAAAAACCAGAUACAUUCAUCUCAUUAGGACACCCUUUUUUUUUACUUGUACAAUAUACAUUAUACAAUAUUAUAAUAAAACAUACUUAUAUUUUAUCAACAAUAAAUACAUUUUUUUCAUUUAUGUCGCUGAAAUCCUAUGCCAGACACCCUUUGAUGUUGAAUUUCAGAAAUCUGGCUUAGAGGUGCACAGGGACCCAUUUAUUUGGUUCUAUAUGUACAUUUUUAGACCUCUAGAUUCAAUUGUUUCAGCUGUAGAUUAUGCACAAAUAAAUAGACAGCCACUUCAUUUUAUUAAUAUAUAAGUUGAUUUUUUUUGUCAUAAACCAGCAAUUAUCUCUGAGUAUUUUAAGUAAAUCAACUUUCUGUUUUCUGUUUUUUCCUAAUCACUAUAGAAUCGUUCAAGUUUUGUUUUAAAACUGUUUUUUAUUUUUACCCCUACUCCAUAUACCUUAAAUACGUACACACUUUUUGAUUUUCAAAUAGGAACCCUCCCUCUUGAACACAGAUUUGAAUAGAGAAUAUUUUUCUAGAAAUAUUGAUAUACAUAACACUAAUAUCAGAUUUAUUGUUAUAACUCAUAAAGGUAAAUCUGAUAUAAGAAUUAUGUACAUCAACAUUUCUAGAAAAAUAUUCUCUAUUCAAAUCUGUGUUUAAAAGAGAGGUUUUUAUUUGAAAAUCAAAAGUCUGCACUUAUUAGUAGGGUAUGAGUAGGGGUAAAGUCAUUCCAUAAUGAUUAGAAAAAACAAAAAUCAAGUUUACUUAAAAAAUCUUCCAUGGUUCAUGAUAAAAAAAUCACUAUAGAAUAUACAUAUAUUUCAAAGCAAUAGUACAUAAUUAAUAAAUUAUUACACAAGUACUUAUAAUAUUAUUGUUCACAAAAUAAAUAAUAUACAUUUUUAUCAUUAGACUACCAUAAAAAAUGAAGUUGGUAUGAAACGAGGAUUAGAACCUGAAUUCGAGAAUAAUGAAAAAAAAUUGAAAACCGAUACAGCUACUAAAAAAAAUGAAAUUGAAUUAACUGAUGAAACUGAAGCUUUAUUCGAAGAACAGUUUAUAUCAUGGGAAGAACAAUUUGUUAAAUGGAAAGAACAAAAUAAAAAUCAUCCAGAUAAAGUAUAUUUUUCCAAUUUUAUAAUUUGUAUAAAUUUGUUUAUCAAUACACAUACUAAUUAAUAAUAAUAAUAUAAUCUGUUUUAUAUUAGGUUCAGUAUUUAGAGUAUGAGAAAAAAUGGUUAACCUGGCGUGAUCAUUUAAAACAAAAAUGUGAAAUGUUAAAAAAAAAGAGAGAGCUCAAAAUGGCUGAAAAAAAGGUGAAUUUUAAAUCAAUAAUCUAUUUUGAUUAUUCUCUGUUAAAACGUAAUUCCAAUUGACUAUAUGGUUAACAUUACAUUAAAUUAUUAAUUUCUUUUGAUUUUAUUAUUUAGAAGGAAACUAUUCAAAUUGAAGAAAAUAAACUACAAUCUCAGCAAAUAUUAGGUUAUAAUCCAUUGAUGCAAAAAACUCCUUCAUCAAUAAAUGAACUUACUCCAAUCACUUUUCAGCAUUUGGUAAUUAUUAAA